rnacentral:rRNA from 1 species
UACGGAGGGUGCAAGCGUUAUCCGGAUUCACUGGGUUUAAAGGGUGCGUAGGUGGGUCUGUAAGUCCGUGGUGAAAUCUCCAGCUUAACUUGGAAACUGCCGUGGAUACUAUCAGUCUUGAAUAUCGUGGAGGUAAGCGGAAUAUGUCAUGUAGCGGUGAAAUGCUUAGAUAUGACAUAGAACACCAAUUGCGUAGGCAGCUUACUACUCGAUCAUUGACGCUGAGGCACGAAAGCGUGGGGAGCAAACAGG